rnacentral:rRNA from 1 species
GACGAACGCUGGCGGCGUGCUUAACACAUGCAAGUCGAACGAGUUGCGAACGGGUGAGUAACACGUGGGUGCUCUGCCUUGCACUUCGGGAUAAGCUUGGGAACCUGGGUCUAAUACCGCAUAGUGCAAGCUGAUCUCGCGGCCUAUCAGAUUGUUGGUUGGGUAAUGGCUACCAAGGCGCGACGGGUAGCCGGCCUGCGAGUGUGUACGGCCACAUUGGGUCUGAGAUACAGACCCGAAUCCUACGUGAGGCAGCUGGGGGUAAUAUUGCACAAUGGGCGGAAUCCUGAUGCAGCUACGCCGGGGUUGGGAUGAAGGCCUUCGGGUUGUAAACUCCUUGCGACAGGAACGCGGUACCUGUAUAAGAAGCACCGGCUAACUACGUGCCAGCAGCCGCGGUAAUAC